rnacentral:rRNA from 1 species
GACGAACGCUGGCGGCGUGCCUAAUACAUGCAAGUCGAACGCAGUGGGGACGGGUGAGUAACACGUGGGUAACCUCCAAUCAGAGGGGAUAACAAUUGGAAACAGGUGCUAAACCGAUACUGAUGGAUGGACCGGUGGCGCAUUAGCUAGUUGGUGGGGUAACGGCUCACCAAGGCCACGAUGCAUAGCCGGCCUGGGAGGGUGAUCGGCCACACUGGGACUGAGACACGGCCCAGACUCCUACGGGAGGCAGCAGUAGGGAAUCUUCGGCAAUGGACGAAAGUCUGACCAAGCAACGCCGCGUGAGUGAAGAAGGUUUUCGGAUCGUAAAACUCUGUUGUUAGAGAAGCGGUAUCUAACCAGAAAGUCACGGCUAACUACGUGCCAGCAGCCGCGGUAAUUC